UCGCCUUUAGUAUAAUGGUAGUACUACUGUCUUCGAAACAGAGAACAUUGGUUCGAUUCCAAUAGGGCGUU
rnacentral:tRNA from 1 species